rnacentral:misc_RNA from 1 species
AAGAGACGUUGCCCUUCGGGGUAUACCUCCCACCCUUUGUUUAUUACACCUUUGUUGCUUUGGCGGGCCCGUCCUCGGACCACCGGCUUCUGCUGGUCAGUGCCCGCCAGAGGACCUAAAACUCUGUUUGUUAAUAUUGUCUGAGUACUAUAUAAUAGUUA